GAUGAACGCUGGCGGCGUGCUUAACACAUGCAAGUCGAACGGAAAGGCUCCUGCUUGCAGGGGUACUCGAGUGGCGAACGGGUGAGUAACACGUGGGUGAUCUGCCCUGCACUUCGGGAUAAGCCUGGGAAACUGGGUCUAAUACCGGAUAGGACGAUGGUUUGGAUGCCAUUGUGGAAAGUUUUUCGGUGUGGGAUGGGCUCGCGGCCUAUCAGCUUGUUGGUGGGGUAAUGGCCUACCAAGGCGUCGACGGGUAGCCGGCCUGAGAGGGUGUACGGCCACAUUGGGACUGAGAUACGGCCCAGACUCCUACGGGAGGCAGCAGUGGGGAAUAUUGCACAAUGGGCGCAAGCCUGAUGCAGCGACGCCGCGUGGGGGAUGACGGCCUUCGGGUUGUAAACUCCUUUCGCUAGGGACGAAGCGCAAGUGACGGUACCUGGUGAAGAAGCACCGGCUAACUACGUG
rnacentral:rRNA from 1 species